CACAGGUACUGAUGGCAGUAUACACCAAUCACUAUGACAGGUACUGAUGGCAGUACACACCAAUCACUAUGACAGGUACUGAUGGCAGUAUACACCAAUCACUAUGACAGGUACUGAUGGCAGUAUACACCAAUCACUGUGACAGGUACUGAUGACAGUAUACACCAAUCACUAUGACAGGUACUGAUGGCAGUAUACACCAAUCAUUAUGACAGGUACUGAUGGCAGUAUACACCAAUCACUGUGACAGGUACUGAUGACAGUAUACACCAAUCACUGUGACAGGUACUGAUGACAGUAUACACCAAUCACUAUGACAGGUACUGAUGGCAGUACACACCAAUCAUUAUGACAGGUACUGAUGGCAGUAUACACCAAUCACUGUGACAGGUACUGAUGACAGUAUACACCAAUCACUAUGACAGGUACUGAUGGCAGUAUACACCAAUCAUUAUGACAGGUACUGAUGGCAGUAUACACCAAUCACUGUGACAGGUACUGAUGGCGGUACACACCAAUCACUAUGACUGAGGCACUAAAUAUGUUAAUGUGUGUAUUUGUAAUGGGGCCUUAAUAAUGGUUCAGGAGCAUUUUCACUGAAAUCACAAUUUAGGCUCUGGAGUGUACAAAAGUAUUUUGUACAUUUUGUAAAUAGAGUAAUUGUAUUUUAGUAAAUUAUAAAUAUUAGUUUGUUACUAUUUAUGCCAUUGUUAAAUUAUGUACAUACUUUAUUGUUCUUGGCCCAUAGUUUUAGUGGGGUUAUUUUAUAUAUGUGUGCGAUUUGUCAUUUUACCAGUUUAACAGAGACACCCAGGUGGGAACACCCCGGCUGAAACAACAUAAGGAAAGCCGAUUGGAUUGGAAAAACGUUAUAAAUGUAAAAUAAUUACUCCAAUUAUUAUUUUUGUAUAUUUUGCGCAAGAAUUUACCAUCCUCGUGCAAAAAAAAAAUUGCAUUGAAAGUAUGAGUGUUAGUUUUUGUAAUUGCGACCAGAAAUCAGAGUUUACACAUCUGUUAUUUAACCACUACAUCACUGAUGGGAUUGCAUCAUCAGUUCUCAGGUUUCAAUAUAACAUCACCACGCAUUCCUCAUAAUAUGUGAGCAGUAGUAAUAUUAAUAAUAAUAGCAUUUUCUGUUUAUGUUUGUCUUCUCAUAUCCUACGCAUUAUCCAAC
ensembl:lncRNA